CCUACGGGUGGCUGCAGUGAGGAAUAUUGGUCAAUGGGAGAGAUCCUGAACCAGCCAAGCCGCGUGAGGGAAGACGGCCCUAUGGGUUGUAAACCUCUUUUGUCGGAGAACAAAACCCGGGACGUGUCCCGGACUGCGUGUAUCCGAAGAAAAAGCAUCGGCUAACUCCGUGCCAGCAGCCGCGGUAAUACGGAGGAUUCAAGCGUUAUCCGGAAUGACUGGGCGUAAAGGGUGCGUAGGUGGUUUGACAAGUAGGUAGCGUAACUCCGAGGCUCAACCUCGGCACUACUACCAAAACUGUCGGACUUGAGUGCAGGAGGGGCAAUUGGAAUUCCUAGUGUAGCGGUGGAAUGCGCAGAUAUUAGGAGGAACACCGGUGGCGAAGGCGAAUUGCUGGACUGUAACUGACACUGAGGCACGAAAGCGUGGGGAGCAAACAGGAUUAGAUACCCGGGUAGUC
rnacentral:rRNA from 1 species